ACAUGCAAGUCGAGCGGUAACAUUUCUAGCUUGCUAGAAGAUGACGAGCGGCGGACGGGUGAGUAAUUCUUGGGAACAUGCCUUGAGGUGGGGGACAACAGUUGGAAACGACUGCUAAUACCGCAUAAUGUCUACGGACCAAAGGGGGCUUCGGCUCUCGCCUUUAGAUUGGCCCAAGUGGGAUUAGCUAGUUGGUGAGGUAAUGGCUCACCAAGGCGACGAUCCCUAGCUGGUUUGAGAGGAUGAUCAGCCACACUGGGACUGAGACACGGCCCAGACUCCUACGGGAGGCAGCAGUGGGGAAUAUUGCACAAUGGGCGCAAGCCUGAUGCAGCCAUGCCGCGUGUGUGAAGAAGGCCUUCGGGUUGUAAAGCACUUUCAGUCAGGAGGAAAGGUUAGUAGUUAAUACCUGCUAGCUGUGACGUUACUGACAGAAGAAGCACCGGCUAACUCCGUGCCAGCAGCCGCGGUAAUACGGAGGGUGCGAGCGUUAAUCGGAAUUACUGGGCGUAAGGCGUACGCAGGCGGUUUGUUAAGCGAGAUGUGAGAGCCCCGGGCUCAACCUGGGAACUGCAUUUCGAACUGGCAAACUAGAGUGUGAUAGAGGGUGGUAGAAUUUCAGGUGUAGCGGUGAAAUGCGUAGAGAUCUGAAGGAAUACCGAUGGCGAAGGCAGCCACCUGGGUCAACACUGACGCUCAUGUACGAAAGCGUGGGGAGCAAACAGGAUUAGAUACCCUGGUAGUCCACGCCGUAAACGAUGUCUACUAGAAGCUCGGAACCUCGGUUCUGUUUUUCAAAGCUAACGCAUUAAGUAGACCGCCUGGGGAGUACGGCCGCAAGGUUAAAACUCAAAUGAAUUGACGGGGGCCCGCACAAGCGGUGGAGCAUGUGGUUUAAUUCGAUGCAACGCGAAGAACCUUACCUACACUUGACAUACAGAGAACUUACUAGAGAUAGUUUGGUGCCUUCGGGAACUCUGAUACAGGUGCUGCAUGGCUGUCGUCAGCUCGUGUUGUGAGAUGUUGGGUUAAGUCCCGCAACGAGCGCACCCCUAUCUAGUGCUAGCAGGUAUGCUGAGACUCUAGAGACUGCCGGUGAUAACCGGAGGAGUGGGACGACGUCAGUCAUCAUGGCCCUUACGUGGAGCUACCCCCGUGCCUACAUGGGCCAAUACAGAGGGCUGGCACUCCGGAGAAUAAGCGAAUCACUUAAGUGGCCGCCAAAUCCGAGAAUGGAGAUUGUGGAAAUCUCUG
rnacentral:rRNA from 1 species